rnacentral:rRNA from 1 species
GAUGAACGCUGGCGGCGUGCCUAAUACAUGCAAGUCGAGCGAACGGACGAGAAGCUUGCUUCUCUGAUGUUAGCGGCGGACGGGUGAGUAACACGUGGAUAACCUACCUAUAAGACUGGGAUAACUUCGGGAAACCGGAGCUAAUACCGGAUGAUAUUUUGAACCGCAUGGUUCAAAAGUGAAAGACGGUCUUGCUGUCACUUAUAGAUGGAUCCGCGCUGCAUUAGCUAGUUGGUAAGGUAACGGCUUACCAAGGCAACGAUGCAUAGCCGACCUGAGAGGGGGGUCGGCCACACUGGAACUGAGACACGGUCCAGACUCCUACGGGAGGCAGCAGUAGGGAAUGUUCCGCAAUGGGCGAAAGCCUGACGGAGCAACGCCGCGUGAGUGAUGAAGGUCUUCGGAUCGUAAAACUCUGUUAUUAGGGAAGAACAUAUGUGUAAGUAACUGUGCACAUCUUGACGGUACCUAAUCAGAAAGCCACGGCUAACUACGUG